AGUGGGGAAUCUUGCGCAAUGGGCGAAAGCCUGACGCAGCAACGCCGCGUGCGGGAUGACGGCCUUCGGGUUGUAAACCGCUUUCAGUGGGGACGAAUCAAGACGGUACCCACAGAAGAAGCCCCGGCCAACUACGUGCCAGCAGCCGCGGUAACACGUAGGGGGCGAGCGUUGUCCGGAAUCAUUGGGCGUAAAGAGCUCGUAGGCGGCUCGGUAAGUCGGGUGUGAAACCCCCAGGCUCAACCUGGGGACGCCACCCGAUACUGCUGUGGCUAGAGUCCAGUAGGGGAGUGUGGAAUUCCCGGUGUAGCGGUGAAAUGCGCAGAUAUCGGGAGGAACACCAGCGGCGAAGGCGGCACUCUGGGCUGGAACUGACGCUGAGGAGCGAAAGCGUGGGUAGCAAA
rnacentral:rRNA from 1 species